GGUGAACGCUGGCGGCGUGCCUAAUACAUGCAAGUCGAGCGAACGGACGAUAAGCUUUCUUCUCUGAUGUUAGCGGCGGACGGGUGAGUAACACGUGGAUCACCUACCUAUAAUACUUGGAUAACUUCGGGAAACCGUAUCUAAUACCGGAUAAUAUUUUGAACCGCAUGGUUCAAAAGUGAAAGACGGUCUUGCUGUCACUUAUAGAUGGAUCCGCGCUGCAUUAGCUAGUUGGUAAGGUAACGGCUUACCAAGGCAACGAUGCAUAGCCGACCUGAGAGGGUGAUCGGCCACACUGGAACUGAGACACGGUCCAGACUCCUACGGGAGGCAGCAGUAGGGAAUCUUCCGCAAUGGGCGAAAGCCUGACGGAGCAACGCCGCGUGAGUGAUGAAGGUCUUCGGAUCGUAAAACUCUGUUAUUAGGGAAGAACAUAUGUGUAAGUAACUGUGCCUAUCUUGACGGUACCUAAUCAGAAAGCCACGGCUAACUACGUG
rnacentral:rRNA from 1 species